UAACACCGGCAGCCCAAGUGGUAGCCAUGCUUAUUGGGUCUAAAGCGUCCGUAGCCGGCUAAGUAAGUUCUUUGGGAAACUUGACCGCUUAACGGUCAAGCUAUCAGGGAAUACUGCUUGGCUUGGGACCGGGAGAGGUCAGAGGUACUCCAAGGGUAGGGGUGAAAUCCGUUAAUCCCUGGGGGACCACCGGUAGCGAAGGCGUCUGACCAGAUCGGGUCCGACGGUGAGGGACGAAGGCUGGGGUCGCGAACCGGAUUAGAUACCCGGGUAGUCCUAGCUGUAAACGAUGCGGGCCAGGUGUUGGCAUUACUGCGAGUGAUGCCAGUGCCGAAGGGAAGCCGUUAAGCCCGUCAUCUGGGGAGUACGGCCGCAAGGCUG
rnacentral:rRNA from 1 species